UGCUUCGAUGUGUCCAUUGCUCCCGGCCCAACCUACAGCUACGAAGUCUCUGCGCUUCAUCCCCGAAAUACUCAGGCAUAUCAACAAUUUUAAUGGUGGGGGAUCACCCCCAGAGAGAGGGAACUCCUUAUAAGGACAAUCCUUACAAGAUCUUGUAAAAAUAGUUCUAAGUUUUAAAUCGCCUCAAGAGAGGGGACACUUAAAAAUUUUCUUACAAGUUCUGACCUGUAGCUGAAAUGAAAGAAGGAGCAUACAAAUCACACAGGAUACCUUAACAAUUUUUAUAGUGGGGAUCAUCUCCUGAGAGAGGGAACUCUCUUAGAGACUUGGGCCUGUAAUGAUAGAAGGGGUACACAAAUCAAAGAAGUCAAUAUAUCUUACUAUUUAUUUAUUGACAAUAGAAUACAAGUUUAUAUUUUACAAGUCAACAGAAUUUAUGUCGCCAUAUUGAAACAGGACUCUAACGGGCUAAAGAAAUUAUCAAAUAGCUCAUUUUCUAGACGAUUGAAAAUGGAAACAAAUAUACAGGGUGUUACAAAUGAUAAAUUUAAUGUGAAAACAUAAAAACAUUUUUACACUACAAAUAUGAUUCGUUCUUCACCCGAGGCUCCUGGAAAACUAAUAUACAGGGUGUUCCAGAAAGAAAAUUCAAAGUGCAAAGGGGAAAAUACUAAAAACAUCAGCUAAAGCAAAAUUUUCAAGGACACAAAGGAAAACAUAUAUACAGGGUGAUCUAGAAAGAAAAUUCCAUUUUCAAAACGGAGAACACUCAAAACUCAUAACUAAAGGUGAUUUUCUACGUACGUGCUGUUAGUAAAACUAACAGGGUAUUACAGAAAAAAAUCAGAAACUACAAAAGGAGUCAAUAAUCACAAUAUGACACAAUAAGAGGAAAAUUUACAAAUCAACAACAAUAUUUUAAUAUAAAAUCAGAAAAACCGAAACCCGAAAAACAUCAGAAAAUUGAGCAAUAGGGUGCUACAAAAAUAAAACACUUACAUUUUAAUAUUAUAUUAAACUUGGAAAAACAAUCGUUGGAAAACAAGUUGAAAACUAACGACAUACUCAACAAAAAAUCUGAAACAAAAUUUUUGGAACUUGAGCACAGCCUGCAUGAAGUACAAUUAUCUCGAAGCGCUUGUCGGAAGCAGCUUCACAAGGCAAUGAAUUUCGCCAAGGAUCUGGUCAAUGAACAAGAGACGCUUCUGAAAGCACUCAAUCAGCGGCACAUGGAAAACAAAGCUGUGAAACGUUUCGGCACCGAUAUUGCUAGCCGGAUGGAUGUACUGCGCAAUCAAUUGAAGGCAGUUCAGAAAGACGCCUGGCAAGAAUUGUCGACAGUGGAAGAGCGCAUACAAGAACAGGAUUCGAUUAUUUUGUCGAUGAAAGAAGAACACGAACAGGAAAUCGAAAAACUUAAAAAUCUAAUUAAAGAAAAAGGAUGAAUAUAAAAUUACUAAUCUAUACUCCCACCAUCGCAAUCACUUCCAAGGGCUUCAUUAAAUUCAUAAAAUAGGUUUAUUUAAUUUUUACUGUUUCUCUGUUAUGUACAAAAAUAUCAUUCGAAUAUUAAAUAAAAUAUGAAUUUAAAUAAGGA